rnacentral:rRNA from 1 species
AGAGUUUGAUCAUGGCUCAGGACGAACGCUGGCGGCGUGCCUAAUACAUGCAAGUCGAGCGAACUUGCGGGAGCUUGCUCCCAAAAGUUAGCGGCGGACGGGUGAGUAACACGUGGGCAACCUGCCUGUAAGACUGGGAUAACUUCGGGAAACCGGAGCUAAUACCGGAUAAUCCUUUUCCUCACAUGUGGAAAAGUUGAAAGAUGGCUUCGGCUAUCACUUACAGAUGGGCCCGCGGCGCAUUAGCUAGUUGGUGAGGUAACGGCUCACCAAGGCGACGAUGCGUAGCCGACCUGAGAGGGUGAUCGGCCACACUGGGACUGAGACACGGCCCAGACUCCUACGGGAGGCAGCAGUAGGGAAUCUUCCGCAAUGGACGAAAGUCUGACGGAGCAACGCCGCGUGAGUGAUGAAGGUUUUCGGAUCGUAAAACUCUGUUGUUAGGGAAGAACAAGUACCGUUCGAAUAGGGCGGUACCUUGACGGUACCUAACCAGAAAGCCACGGCUAACUACGUGCCAGCAGCCGCGGUAAUACGUAUUGUGGCAAGCGUUGUCCGGAAUUAUUGGGCGUAAAGCGCGCGCAGGCGGUCUUUUAAGUCUGAUGUGAAAGCCCCCGGCUCAACCGGGGAGGGUCAUUGGAAACUGGGAGACUUGAGUGCAGAAUAGGAUACUGGAAUUCCACGUGUAGCGGUGAAAUGCGUAGAAAUGUGGAGGAACACCAGUGGCGAAGGCGACUCUCAUGGUCUGUAACUGACGCUGAGGCGCGAAAGCGUGGGGAGCAAACAGGAUUAGAUACCCUGGUAGUCCACGCCGUAAACGAUGAGUGCUAAGUGUUAGAGGGUUUCCGCCCUUUAGUGCUGCAGCAAACGCAUUAAGCACUCCGCCAGUGGGAGUACGGCCGCAAGGCUGAAAACUCAAAGGAAUUGACGGGGACCCGCACAAGCGGUGGAGCAAUGUGGUUUAAUUCGAAGCAACGCGAAGAACCUUAC